GAUGAACGCUGGCGGCGUGCCUAAUACAUGCAAGUCGAGCGAACAGAUGAGGAGCUUGCUCCUCUGACGUUAUCGGCGGACGGGUGAGUAACACGUGGAUAACCUACCUAUAAGACUGGGAUAACUUCGGGAAACCGGAGCUAAUACCGGAUAAUAUAUUGAACCGCAUGGUUCAAUAGUGAAAGACGGUUUUGCUGUCACUUAUAGAUGGAUCCGCGCCGCAUUAGCUAGUUGGUAAGGUAACGGCUUACCAAGGCAACGAUGCGUAGCCGACCUGAGAGGGUGGUCGGCCACACUGGAACUGAGGCACGGUCCAGACUCCUACGGGAGGCAGCAGUAGGGAAUCUUCCGCAAUGGGCGAAAGCCUGACGGAGCAACGCCGCGUGAGUGAUGAAGGUCUUCGGAUCGUAAAACUCUGUUAUUAGGGAAGAACAAAUGUGUAAGUAACUAUGCACGUCUUGACGGUACCUAAUCAGAAAGCCACGGCUAACUACGUG
rnacentral:rRNA from 1 species